GGGGCCGUCGUCUAGCUUGGUCAAGGGAUUAGCCCCGCCCAGAGGAUACCAGAGUCCGAUUAUGGACGGUGACCCUGGGGCGCUGGCGACCUCGAGAAAUCGAGGCCAGAGGUCGUGGGUUCAAAUCCCACCGGCCCCA
rnacentral:tRNA from 1 species